rnacentral:rRNA from 1 species
ACGGGAGGCAGCAGUGGGGAAUAUUGGACAAUGGGGGAAACCCUGAUCCAGCGACGCCGCGUGAGCGAAGAAGUAUUUCGGUAUGUAAAGCUCUAUCAGCAGGGAAGAUAAUGACGGUACCUGACUAAGAAGCCCCGGCUAACUACGUGCCAGCAGCCGCGGUAAUACGUAGGGGGCAAGCGUUAUCCGGAUUUACUGGGUGUAAAGGGAGCGUAGACGGAAGGCCAAGUCUGAUGUGAAAACCCGGGGCUCAACCCCGGGACUGCAUUGGAAACUGGUCAUCUAGAGGGCAGGAGGGGUAAGUGGAAUUCCUAGUGUAGCGGUGAAAUGCGUAGAUAUUAGGAGGAACACCAGUGGCGAAGGCGGCUUACUGGACUGUAACUGACGUUGAGGCUCGAAAGCGUGGGGAGCAAACAGGAUUAGAUACCCUGGUA